rnacentral:piRNA from 1 species
UAAAGGAUUCACUGUUAACACAGUACAAGGG